rnacentral:rRNA from 1 species
CCUACGGGCGUCUGCAGUCGAGGAUAUUUAGCAAUGGGGGAGACCCUGACUAUGUGACGCCGCGUGAGGGAUGAAGGUCUUCGGAUUGUAAACCUCUUUCGACAGGAAAGAAAAACUGCACUAACACUGCAGUCUGACGGUACCUGUAGAAGAAGCCAUGGCACACUCUGUGCCAGCAGCCGCGGUAAUACAGAGAUGGCGAGCGUUACUCGGAUUUAUUGGGUGUAAAGGGCAGGGAGGUGUUUUGCCAAGUUGUAAGUGAAAUCCUAAGGCGCAAACUUAGAACUGCUUACAAAACUGGCGAAAUUGAGAUGGGUAGAGGAAAGCGGAAUUCCCGGUGUAAGGGUGAAAUCUGUAGAUGUCGGGAGGAACACCAGUGGCGAAAGCGGCUUUCUGGACCAAUUCUGACACUAAGCUGCGAAAGCUCGGGGAGCAAACA